GGAAAAAUCGCCUAAUGGUAUGGCAAUAGUUUGCUAAACUAUGAAAUAAUAUUUCAUGGGGGUUCGAAUCCCCCUUUUUCCG
rnacentral:tRNA from 1 species